AGGGGCAUAGCUCAAUUGGCAGAGCGCCGGUCUCCAAAACCGGAGGUUGGGGGUUCGAGACCCUCUGCCCCUGCCA
rnacentral:tRNA from 4 species